GCGCACGCAGGCGGUCUGUCAAGUCGGAUGUGAAAUCCCCGCGCUCAACCUGGGAACUGCAUUCGAAACUGGCAGGCUAGAGUCCUGUAGAGGGGGGUAGAAUUCCAGGUGUAGCGGUGAAAUGCGUAGAGAUCUGGAGGAAUACCGGUGGCGAAGGCGGCCCCCUGGACAAAGACUGACGCUCAGGUGCGAAAGCGUGGGGAGCAAACAGGAUUAGAUACCCUGGUAGUCCACGCCGUAAACGAUGUCGAUUUGGAGGUUGUGCCCUUGAGGCGUGGCUUCCGGAGCUAACGCGUUAAAUCGACCGCCUGGGGAGUACGGCCGCAAGGUUAAAACUCAAAUGAAUUGACGGGGGCCCGCACAAGCGGUGGAGCAUGUGGUUUAAUUCGAUGCAACGCGAAGAACCUUACCUGGUCUUGACAUCCAGAGAACUUUCCAGAGAUGGAUUGGUGCCUUCGGGAACUGUGAGACAGGUGCUGCAUGGCUGUCGUCAGCUCGUGUUGUGAAAUGUUGGGUUAAGUCCCCGCACGAGCGCAACCCUUAUCCUUUGUUGCCAGCGGUUAGG
rnacentral:rRNA from 1 species